rnacentral:lncRNA from 1 species
CUGUGCACUCACAUGUGCCCCUACACACACACACACACACACACACACACACAUGCACCUGUGCACUCACAUGUGCCCCUACACACACACAAAUGCACCUGUACACUCACACGUGCCCCCACACACAAAUGCACCUGUACACUCACAUGUGCCCCUACAUACAAAUGCACUUGUGCACUCACAUGUGCCCCUCCACAGACACAAAUGCACCUGUGCACUCACAUCUGUCCCUACACACACACAAAUGCAUCUGUACACUCACAUGUGCCCUCCUCCACACUCAAAUUUUUAAAAUAAUUUCUCACUACUCUUCUUUGUUAGCCUCAUUUAAAAUGAAGUAUGGAUAGAGGAGAGCUACUUGUUCAUAGUCUGGUUUAUUUUUCUGAACCCUAAGCUGUGUGGCCAUCUGUCCAUGUGUAUAUGUAGACAGUCCUCUCCCCUGCACUACUGUUACUUAUAGACUAUUAAACUAUGG